UACGAAGGGGGCUAGCGUUGCUCGGAAUCACUGGGCGUAAAGCGCACGUAGGCGGCUUACUAAGUCAGGGGUGAAAUCCUGGAGCUCAACUCCAGAACUGCCUUUGAUACUGGUGAGCUUGAGUCCGGAAGAGGUGAGUGGAACUGCGAGUGUAGAGGUGAAAUUCGUAGAUAUUCGGAAGAACACCAGUGGCGAAGGCGGCUCACUGGACCGGUAUUGACGCUGAGGUGCGAAAGCGUGGGGAGCAAACAGG
rnacentral:rRNA from 1 species